rnacentral:rRNA from 1 species
AGUGAACGCUGGCGGUAGGCCUAACACAUGCAAGUCGAACGGCAGCACAGUAAGAGCUUGCUCUUACGGGUGGCGAGUGGCGGACGGGUGAGGAAUACAUCGGAAUCUACUUUUUCGUGGGGGAUAACGUAGGGAAACUUACGCUAAUACCGCAUACGACCUACGGGUGAAAGCAGGGGAUCUUCGGACCUUGCGCGAUUGAAUGAGCCGAUGUCGGAUUAGCUAGUUGGCGGGGCAAAGGCCCACCAAGGCGACGAUCCGUAGCUGGUCUGAGAGGAUGAUCAGCCACACUGGAACUGAGACACCGUCCAGACUCCUACGGGAGGCAGCAGUGGGGAAUAUUGGACAAUGGGCGCAAGCCUGAUCCAGCCAUACCGCGUGGGUGAAGAAGGCCUUCGGGUUGUAAAGCCCUUUUGUUGGGAAAGAAAAGCAGCAGGUUAAUACCCCGCUGUUCUGACGGUACCCAAAGAAUAAGCACCGGCUAACUUCGUG